CAGUAGCCGCGGUAAUACGAAGGGUGCAAGCGUUAAUCGGAAUUACUGGGCGUAAAGCGUGCGUAGGCGGUUUGUUAAGUCUGUUGUGAAAUCCCCGGGCUCAACCUGGGAAUGGCAAUGGAUACUGGCAAGCUAGAGUGUGUCAGAGGAUGGUGGAAUUUCCGGUGUAGCAGUGAAAUGCGUAGAGGUCGGAAGGAACAUCUGUGGCGAAGGCGACUAUCUGGGCCAACACUGACACUGAGGCACGAAAGCGUGGGGAGCAAACAGGAUUAGAGACCCCGGUAGUCCCUGUCUCUUAUAC
rnacentral:rRNA from 1 species